UACGGAGGGUGCAAGCGUUAUCCGGAUUCACUGGGUUUAAAGGGUGCGUAGGCGGGCAGGUAAGUCCGUGGUGAAAUCUCUGAGCUUAACUCAGAAACUGCCAUGGAUACUAUUUGUCUUGAAUGUUGUGGAGGUAAGCGGAAUAUGUCAUGUAGCGGUGAAAUGCUUAGAUAUUGGGAGGAACACCAGUGGCGAAGGCGGCUCACUGGACCGGAACUGACGCUGAGGCGCGAAAGCGUGGGGAGCAAACAGG
rnacentral:rRNA from 1 species